CAGGACGACGGCAUGGAACCUAUUGAGAACCUCGGAAUCGAAAAAACAGCGUGCUUGGUCUUCUGCUGCACGCCUCCGAGAAACAUGAAAACGAUAGUGGCACCAGAUGGACUCGACUGUAGCAAUGACCUCACCGGACUACUAGACAUGAGAUGCAUAAACGGCAUGUGCAAGCAGCUCAGGUGAUCAUCCUACGUGGGAUACAGGAAUCGCGCUUUCCUUGGAACAACAUAAGACGUUUAUCGCUAAUUCGAAAAAUGAAAGCUUUGGAUAUACCGCAACAAAAUUACUCUGACUUUCCGUGUAUCAUCGUAUAAUUAAGGACGCCCCAAAUAAACAGCGAUUUGAGUCUAUUAUCGCAA